rnacentral:lncRNA from 1 species
GCUGGUGUUUCAUCAUUAAAAGGUGGAAUCCCAGUUAGAAACUCAAACAGGCAAACUCCGAGAGCCCACCAGUCUACAGCAGAACCAUGAGGCUUAGUCAAAAGCAGCUCAGGUGCCAAAUAGUCUGGGGUCCCCAGGAUGCGUUCACCUUCCACUGGGGCAGCUCCUCUUCUUACACUCUUUGGGGUCCUGUACGGUGUGCCUGCAUCCCCCUGACGAGGUGUCUUCAAGUAAGCAACAAAAAACAUUUAAGUCAAACCAAACU